rnacentral:snoRNA from 1 species
AACCCAUGGUGAGGGCACCUUCUCAGUAAGUCUUUGUAUCUCUCUUAUGCAUCAUAAAGUGUUUCUAAGUCCAUCUUCACAAACAAAGAGAUAUCAUUAUGUAAUU